GAUGUGCCACUUUGUUACACUUUUUUAUUGUAAUCUAGAAGCACUAAAUUUUUGAAAGGCCAGCUCUUCAAGAACUGUCAGAAUAUAAGGGUAGCUAUAGUAUACCAAAUCUGAACACUCUUGAGCGAAGUGCCAACAAGAUGGAUGUGCAUUAGCUUGCAGUUUACAUCAUCCACUUUCAGGCACCAAAGUUCUCUUGUGGCUGCUAGAUUUGUAACUUCAUAGAAAAGCUUGAUUGAGCAAUUCUCCAUCUAAUCCCGUGUCAUGGUACAGGAUGGAUGUUUCCAAAGCAUCUCAUGGGACUGAACUGCAUGAUGUAAGAAUUCCUCUUGCAAUCCCAUGUUUUCACAUUUCCUCAUAGGCUUGGACGUCGUCAGUGCUGAGAUCAGCCAUUCAACAUGUAGUGCGCAGCGUUGGAGUCAAAUGAGAAAAUGUGGAAAGAAUGGAUCACGAAAGAUUCCUUGUGUAAUAUAGCCCUUAAUGUCAUAAGCAGCACCUACUUGAUGGCUUUGUUCCUUGUAGAUCUCAGGAAGGCUAUGUUCAUAUUUAUGUGCAACGCUGUGGCAACGACCUGUUGGAUUUGCUCGCAAACAGUUUGGAGUCCACUUUGCAUGUGUGCCUGUUGUGUAAUAAGAUGCCUUUUGUUGCUUGGUGCUUGCUUGUUGACUGCAUUUUGUAUUCAAUAAGCUGUGGGAGUCUGCUCUGUUUUGUAGCAUUUUUUGUAAAUUAUCUCUAAUGAUUUGUGGCAUUGCUUUUCGUGUGGCAGCGGUGAAUGCUCAUUGCUGGGAGCAUAUCUUUCUUUGUGCUUACUCAUCUUCUUUCUAAUCUGCCAAUCUCAUGCAAACAUGACUGAAUGUGCAGGAACUGCUUAGUGUAUUGGAGAUAGAUUUCUUGCAAGUCUCAAACAAGAGAGGCAAUGCCUCUUGGACGUUCAUAGUUUUUCAUUUCUUUUCCAUUCUUUUUUAACACCGCAGUGCAGGGACCUCCAGUCAUGGACCUGUCGCCAUGCCUCUACACCAAGGUUGGCCCCAGAUACAAGUGCGUCCUGUGUGACUUCGUCACGAAGGUCACUGACAACCUAUGUGCUCACAUGCACGCACAUAACGCUGGGCCGUCCAGCCUCUAUGCCCAGUUUGGACAACAUUGGCAGUGCCUGGUCUGCGGCUACAUCUCGAAGGUAGCCGUCAACAUGCUUACUCACGUGCGUACGCACACGGGCGAGAAGCCGUACAAGUGUCACCUGUGUCCUUAUGCCUGUGCCCAGAGUGGAAACCUUAGGUCUCACAUCCGAUCUCGCCAUCCCACGGCUCUCAACAUUAGCAGGGUCUCCUGCCGGCCACAGAGAGCAACAAGCCACGAGAGAACUCUGCCGGUUCCCUGAAACAUGCGAUGCCCUCGUGUUGCUGGUGCCAUACUUGGGUACCAGCAGCCUGGUACCAGCUGGACUCAAAUAUAGAUACUACCAGGCUUUAGAGCUUUGCAGCUUGUACCAAAUUCUUUAAAAUAUCUUGGCCAUUGAGUGACAAUUUCACUUUUCACCUGCUUGAAGCAAGGUGAACUUGAAGGAUCAUUAAAUGUUUCACAAAUGUUGUGUGCCUUUACCCAUGGCCAUAUCUAUUGCACUUGCUUCUGUUCAAGAUGAGCUGGAACAGGGUUGACCUUCAAUGUGUAGUUGCCAAGCUAUUUACAUGAAAUUUUUGGCACACUGUCCUGCGUUCGUACAAGCUGGCAUGUGUUAAGCACCUCUGGUUGUGUUUAUAUCAAAUCUUGCAGUUUCUGGAGACUUGGCAUGUCAUAUCUUCGUUUUGUCUUUUUGCAUGGUUCAUUUUCUGUUUAUGGUGCAGAUGAAUUUAUGAGCCUUUGCUUGCCUUGUGUUCAGCAGUCUCGGCAGUUGCUGCUUCUGUAGCAUGCACAUAAUCAUUUUGUAUGAUGCUGUUGGUUUGCAUGAGGCUUCCUUUGGUUGUGUUUCGGCUCCUUCAGGUUGUGGGCAUGUUGGGAUGAUCAGCAAGCCACUGGUGGUUUCCACACUUUUGUCACAACCACUUGAGGGUUGUUCUACGAAUGCGGGUGCUAUGUUCUGGUGCUGCUGUAAAGUACCAAGGGAAGUCUAGUCAGGAUAAAGACCGGUUCAGAAUUAAGGCCAAAUAAUUACUGAAAUAAUUACUGAAAUUACUGAAAUAAUUAAUUACUGAAAUUACUGAAAUAAUUACUCCAAACAAACCCAAAAUAUGCUCAGGUUCAUAGUUUUUUUGUGAUAGCUAAAUAAGAGGUGGACUGGCAUGUGUGUGUGGUGUAGAAAAGCGGCUACUGAACAAUCGCCACUGUGAUAUUUUGAAGUUGUUGUGUACAAGAAGUUUGAUUUCUGACACACAUUUUCUCCAUAUGUUGAUCUGAAAAGUCAGUAUGUACAGUUUAUAAGAUUGGCUGUAUUUACUGCUGAGCUGCAUCAUUGUCUAAAUCAUUUGCUUGCAUGUACUAGUGACAUUUUGUAUGUUCUUUGAAGCAAUUUUCAAGUCGUAUAACGAUCGUGUGACACAUGCAUGAAUAAAAGCAUACGAAACAAAUAAAA
rnacentral:lncRNA from 1 species